rnacentral:rRNA from 1 species
UACGAAGGGGGCUAGCGUUGCUCGGAAUCACUGGGCGUAAAGGGUGCGUAGGCGGGUCUUUAAGUCAGGGGUGAAAUCCUGGAGCUCAACUCCAGAACUGCCUUUGAUACUGAAGAUCUUGAGUUCGGGAGAGGUGAGUGGAACUGCGAGUGUAGAGGUGAAAUUCGUAGAUAUUCGCAAGAACACCAGUGGCGAAGGCGGCUCACUGGCCCGAUACUGACGCUGAUGCACGAAAGCGUGGGGGGCAAACAGG